rnacentral:tRNA from 1 species
GGGCGUUUAGCACAGCGGUAGUGCACCUCGCUUACACCGAGGGGGUCACAGGUUCGAAUCCUGUAGCGCCCA